rnacentral:lncRNA from 1 species
GCGGGGCCGGUGACUCAUCCGGACCGCGCCCCUUGCUCCCCGGCCCCGCCCGGACGCGCUCUCACGUGCGCGCGCGCGGCGCGCUGCUAAUUUUAGCUCCGGCGGCUUCCCUGGGGUCCCGUGAGGUGAAGGCGGGUGGAGGGGACGAGGCAGUCAAGGGAGUGCGGCUCUCCUCGUCCCUCCUUGUCCCUUCCUGCCCCGCCGUAGGUCUUCCUCGAGGACCGGGCCGGGUAGCAUUCAGCCUAUCAUGUCCUCAAGUAAUCUGCCAUAGCAUUUAUUUCCUGCAACCAGGCUUCUAUUGGUCCUGUGCCCAGUGCUUUGCCAGCCUAAGGAGGGAUGAGGUCCCAGUUGUGUGUGAGUGGAGGAGCCUGCUCCUGCCUUUGUCUGAGUCUGAUCACCACAACAACUGCCAUAACCCAGAAAAGCUCACUGGUGAGUUGCUCUUUCCAAAAAGUGAUCACUAUGUGAAAUUUUAAAACUCCAAUGUAACAAAGCCAUGAGCAGCCUUUUGGAGGCUGCCGCAGCAGAAUCUAACCACACUGGGAUUCGAUGUUCUGCUUUCACAAAGGGACAGAAAGUUGCCAGGUUUUUGGGUACAAACUUCUGUGCCAUGACAAAGCACCGCUUUGACCAGUGUGCUGGGCCUGAUCUGAGACCACAACAACCAACCAGUUAGGACAAACCAAAAAUAGCUCCAUCUUCUAAAUCAAGACAGACGGAGGGUGACCACCCUGAGUCACCCAAGUUACACAUUUUAUUUUUGGAUAGCAUUACUGGGCACCAAAAGUGUUUCAUUUGCUGCUUCUCUCCAAUAAAAGUACAAAGAAAGGAACUAAGUCUUGUGGUUCUGUUUGAGUUACCA